rnacentral:rRNA from 1 species
AUUGAACGCUGGCGGCAUGCCUUACACAUGCAAGUCGAACGGUAACAGGUCUUCGGAUGUUGACGAGUGGCGAACGGGUGAGUAAUACAUCGGAACGUGCCUAGUAGUGGGGGAUAACUACUCGAAAGAGUGGCUAAUACCGCAUGAGAUCUACGGAUGAAAGCAGGGGAUCGCAAGACCUUGUGCUACUAGAGCGGCCGAUGGCGGAUUAGGUAGUUGGUGGGAUAAAAGCUUACCAAGCCGACGAUCUGUAGCUGGUCUGAGAGGACGAUCAGCCACACUGGGACUGAGACACGGCCCAGACUCCUACGGGAGGCAGCAGUGGGGAAUUUUGGACAAUGGGCGCAAGCCUGAUCCAGCAAUGCCGCGUGCAGGAUGAAGGCCUUCGGGUUGUAAACUGCUUUUAUACGGAACGAAAAGCCCUGGGUUAAUACCCUGGGGUCAUGACGGUACCGUAAGAAUAAGCACCGGCUAACUACGUGCCAGCAGCCGCCGUAACAC